UGCCAGCAGCCGCGGUAAUACGUAGGGAGCAAGCGUUGUCCGGAAUUAUUGGGCGUAAAGGGUGCGUAGGCGGUAGAUCAAGUCAGAUGUGAAAUUCCCAGGCUUAACUUGGGGCGUGCAUUUGAAACUGGUUUACUUGAGUAAAGAAGAGGUAAGUGGAAUUCCUAGUGUAGCGGUGGAAUGCGUAGAUAUUAGGAGGAACACCAGUGGCGAAGGCGACUUACUGGUCUUUUACUGACGCUGAGGCACGAAAGCGUGGGGAGCAAACAGGAUUAGAUA
rnacentral:rRNA from 1 species